AUUUGAGCCAUGGAAUCUGUUUGGGCAAAGAGAAAUCCCAGUUUCCUAAUACUCCAAACCCUGGGUCACAUGAAUUCCCGGAUUCAGUCUCCAUAUUCGAACCAACACACCGAAACAUCCAUGGCAAGAGGCGAAGCGCGAUCGCAGGAUUUGACGCGCAAGCACCAUGAACAUGGCGUGAUUUCAACUUCCUCAUUUAGUUCAUCGCGACACCAUCUUCCUCGUCCAAUUCAAUGUAAUUUCGUCUUCAAUGAUCGAGCUUCACGCGCGGAAAUUAACAAAAAUGCUGAAGGCAAAGCGAAUAAACACGCGUCCAUGCUCGAGUGCCGAAGGACUUACCGUCAGCGCUAGAUUCAGUGGCGUACACGAGCAAUCGAGUUAUUCCACGAGUAGUUCCUCGACUUCUACGUUGCGUUUUCGUUCGUCCUUUGGCUUGUGUUGUCGUCGUCGCGCUUUCGAGAUGAAGGUGAAGAUGCUUCGGUUCGUGCCUUCGGAAAGAACGCGAAUAGGUUUCAGACUUUAAUGGAGUUCUCAUGUUUGAAGGUUUUGAUACAAGGUUUGGCUAUGAGCUUGAAGGGGUGAUUGAAUAUGCGUCAAGAAGGGAAGUUCGGUUCAAUUUUUAUGGCUCGGUUUUGGUGGUGAUUGCAGCUGUGUUUCAAGUCAUUCCGCAAUGAGGUAGCAGAAGCUUUGAUGUAUGUUAGUUACGGGGUGGUUAAAGGUGUGUUGGAAGGGAAUGGAGGAUGAAGAAGAAGAAGUUUUGAAGGUGGUUUUGAGAGCUUCGCACCAGUUCUACAGAUGGUGACUGAAGAUUGCCGAAAUUGGAUGAAAUCCUCAAUGGACAAGAAGGAAGUGUCGAUGAUGUCAAUUCCUCCGUCACACACACUUUGUUAAAAAGGAUGGGGACCUUGGCGGUUCUCUGCCAUAAUUCCAGCUCUGCAUUAGUAUCAACAACUUCCUUGCCGCUGCCAGAAACCGGAUCGGUGAUUUUGCUCCGUCCACAUCCUGCGAGACUUCUUCUUUAGUGGGAGCAGCUUUGACUGGGUUUAAGACUUUCAAUAAGGUUAUUUAAAUGUCAUGGGAUUACCACGUGAAAGACUUGUUAGCUACUGCGUUGAAUCCACAGCUUCAUCAUUGGCGCAAUAGUGGUUUUGCGGUCAUGGCCACACUAUUUACUUGAAAUGGAAUGGCGUUAUCUUUCGGAAACCAUGUGUAUUAAUUGAAGAUUUACUUUGUAAUUGAAAUGAUGUUGCAAUCAAUGGUUUAUGGAUGUAAUUGGAAAUUGGUUAUGUAUUUUUGUUGUGAUUUUAUAAUAAAUCGAAGUUGGGAUAUGAAUGGAAUCAAAAAUGUAGAAAAUUUGGAAUUUGUAUGAGUUAAUCAUGCGUAGGAUAUGUUUGGAUGUGGUUGAAACCAAACCAAUAUGUAAACCAAUGGCCGGGAAUGUAUAGAAGUGAAAAUUGGUGUAAAUAUACUUGAAAUAUUAUUUGUAAUUUGCUUCUGAAUGAAAUAGAAUGUGGAUGGUUAUA